AUACGGAGGAUGCGAGCGUUAUCCGGAUUUAUUGGGUUUAAAGGGUGCGUAGGCUGUGCGUUAAGUCAGGGGUGAAAUGCCGUCGCUCAACGACGGCGCUGCCCUUGAUACUGGCGUGCUGGAGUACGGAUGCCGUUGGAGGACUGAGUGGGGUAGCGGUGCAAUGCUUAGAUAUGCCUCAGAACACCGAUUGCGAAGGAAUCCGACGAAUCCGUCACUGACGCUGAGGCACGAAAGCGUGGGGAUAGAACAGGAUUAGAUGCCCUGGUAUUCCACGCCGUAAACGAUGAUGACUAACCGUCGGCGAUAGACAGCCGGUGGCCAAGCGAAAGCGAUAAGUCAUCCACCUGGGGAGUACGUCGGUAACGAUGAAACUCAAAUGAAUUGACGGGU
rnacentral:rRNA from 1 species